AACGCACGAGACCUGCGGACCUGCGGAGGGAUCAUUAUCGAGUUUACAACUCCCAAACCAUUGUGAAUCUUACCUUUUCGUUGCUUCGGCGGGAUCGCCCCGGGCGCUUCGGUGCCCCGGAUUCAGGCGCCCGCCGGGGGACCUAAACUCUUGUAUUAUAGUGGAUUUCUGAGUGGAUUACACAAAUAAUCAAAACUUUUAACAAUGGAUCUCU
rnacentral:misc_RNA from 1 species